rnacentral:rRNA from 1 species
GCUUGAGAGAACUCGGGUGAAGGAACUAGGCAAAAUGGUGCCGUAACUUCGGGAGAAGGCACGCUGACACGUAGGUGAAGUGAUUUACUCAUGGAGCUGAAGUCAGUCGAAGAUACCAGCUGGCUGCAACUGUUUAUUAAAAACACAGCACUGUGCAAACACGAAAGUGGACGUAUACGGUGUGACGCCUGCCCGGUGCCGGAAGGUUAAUUGAUGGGGUCAGCGCAAGCGAAGCUCCUGAUCGAAGCCCCGGUAAACGGCGGCCGUAACUAUAACGGUCCUAAGGUAGCGAAAUUCCUUGUCGGGUAAGUUCCGACCUGCACGAAUGGCGUAAUGAUGGCCAGGCUGUCUCCACCCGAGACUCAGUGAAAUUGAACUCGCUGUGAAGAUGCAGUGUACCCGCGGCAAGACGGAAAGACCCCGUGAACCUUUACUAUAGCUUGACACUGAACAUUGAGCCUUGAUGUGUAGGAUAGGUGGGAGGCUUUGAAGCGUGGACGCCAGUCUGCGUGGAGCCGACCUUGAAAUACCACCCUUUAAUGUUUGAUGUUCUAACGUGGACCCGUAAUCCGGGUUGCGGACAGUGUCUGGUGGGUAGUUUGACUGGGGCGGUCUCCUCCUAAAGAGUAACGGAGGAGCACGAAGGUUGGCUAAUCCUGGUCGGACAUCAGGAGGUUAGUGCAAUGGCAUAAGCCAGCUUGACUGCGAGCGUGACGGCGCGAGCAGGUGCGAAAGCAGGUCAUAGUGAUCCGGUGGUUCUGAAUGGAAGGGCCAUCGCUCAACGGAUAAAAGGUACUCCGGGGAUAACAGGCUGAUACCGCCCAAGAGUUCAUAUCGACGGCGGUGUUUGGCACCUCGAUGUCGGCUCAUCACAUCCUGGGGCUGAAGUAGGUCCCAAGGGUAUGGCUGUUCGCCAUUUAAAGUGGUACGCGAGCUGGGUUUAGAACGUCGUGAGACAGUUCGGUCCCUAUCUGCCGUGGGCGCUGGAGAACUGAGGGGGGCUGCUCCUAGUACGAGAGGACCGGAGUGGACGCAUCACUGGUGUUCGGGUUGUCAUGCCAAUGGCACUGCCCGGUAGCUAAAUGCGGAAGAGAUAAGUGCUGAAAGCAUCUAAGCACGAAACUUGCCCCGAGAUGAGUUCUCCCUGAGACUUAGAGUCUCCUGAAGGAACGUUGAAGACGACGACGUUGAUAGGCCGGGUGUGUAAGCGCAGCGAUGCGUUGAGCUAACCGGUACUAAUGAACCGUGAGGCUUAACCUUACAACGCCGAAG